UCCUGCAGACCAUAAAGAGCAAAGCUGCUGUCCUUCAGUAUGGUCCCUAAAAGGUGUCUCGGGCUGAGAUGUAUCAUAGGAGGUUGUUUAUACUGGGAAAGUGUUCUGAUCAAACAGUGCUUGUGACAAUUCCUUCUGCCCUCACAUGCAAUACCUUCUACAGGGACUGGGACAGAUACAGGCAGCGGAGCAGGAGAAUAUGAAGGCACUGGCAUCUCUGAAGGACUCCUUGCUGCAUAUACUCCAACAUGAUUGAAAUAAGACGCUGGACUUACGGCCAUAAAGCAGGCUUUAUUUCAGCUCAAACAGAGCUCCGCAGUUGUAGCCCUUCUCACAACUCCCUGCUGUCGUCUGUGUACUUCUUCAAUCUUUCUCUUAUGUGAGCCCAGACUGGCCACAAGGGGUGGCCUGAAAGGGAUGGUCCUUAGCAAUUCCUUGAAAUACCAGGACUGGAGAGGUAGCAGCACAUUAUGCUUGAGCCCCAAGUGCUUCAGGGAGCAUUUUGGAUACCUGUAUGUGUCCUUGGUAACUACUCUCAUUCUUACGUUUCUUUGUCUUUAUUUAAUCAAUUUAUUGGAGGAAUUAAUAU